rnacentral:snRNA from 1 species
AGCUUUGCUCUGUGGCAAUAUUGUGGCCAAGGAGGUUUCUCCGAGGUGCAAUUAUUGCUAACUGAUA